rnacentral:rRNA from 1 species
GAUGAACGCUAGCGGCAGGCCUAAUACAUGCAAGUCGAGGGACAGCGGUUCGGCCGGCGACCGGCGCACGGGUGCGUAACGCGUAUGGAAGGCGUCCAGAUCUCUGGGAUAGCCCCCGGAAACGGGGAUUAAUACCGGAUGGUCCAACCGGGAGGCAUCUCCUGGUUGGUAAAGCUCCGGCGGAUCUGGGUCCCCAUGCG